GAUGAAGAUCGUAGCGAAAUGCGAUAAGUAAUGUGAAUUGCAGAAUUCAGUGAAUCAUCGAAUCUUUGAACGCACAUUGCGCCCGGCAGUACUCUGCCGGGCAUGCCUGUUCGAGCGUCAUUUCAACCCUCAAGCCCUGCUUGGUGUUGGGGCCCCACGGCUGCCGUGGGCCCUGAAAGGAAGUGGCGGGCUCGCUACAACUCCGAGCGUAGUAAUUCAUUAUCUCGCUUAGGGCGUUGGGCGGCGCUCCAGCCGUUAAAGAACCAUCUUUAACUCAAGGUUGACCUCGGAUCAGGUAGGAAUACCCGCUGAACUUAAGCAUAUCAAUAAGCGGAGGA
rnacentral:misc_RNA from 1 species